CGGAGGCAGCAGUGAGGAAUAUUGGUCAAUGGAGGCAACUCUGAACCAGCCAUGCCGCGUGCAGGAAGACAGCCCUCUGGGUCGUAAACUGCUUUUAUUCGGGAAUAAACCUAGAUACGUGUAUUUAGCUGAAUGUACCGAAGGAAUAAGGAUCGGCUAACUCCGUGCCAGCAGCCGCGGUAAUACGGAGGAUCCAAGCGUUAUCCGGAUUUAUUGGGUUUAAAGGGUGCGUAGGCGGCUUAUUAAGUCAGGGGUGAAAGACGGUGGCUCAACCAUCGCAGUGCCCUUGAUACUGAUGAGCUUGAAUGAACUAGAGGUAGGCGGAAUGUGACAAGUAGCGGUGAAAUGCAUAGAUAUGUCACAGAACACCGAUUGCGAAGGCAGCUUACUAUGGUUUUAUUGACGCUGAGGCACGAAAGCGUGGGGAUCAAACAGGAUUAGAUACCCGAGUAU
rnacentral:rRNA from 1 species